UUAACGCACGUUAUGCGAAUUAGAAAACCAAGAAAACUUGAAAGGAAACAACGUCAUUAAACUAUCCAUUUGAAUCGACAGAAUUUUGAAUCUCGCCUGUUACGUGAAUUUUGCAUGUUGCCUCAUAUUCCAAAACAAAUCUUUCAAUUGAUUCUUCGUUAUCCAAACUCCAAAGCGCUUCAGCAACAGUAAUAAAACUGAAAGAAAAACAAUACUCCACACACGAAAGAAGAAAAUAGAACCAGAUGAUGGUCCGGAUCUCUUGGAUUAAAGUUGAUUAUCAGAGACAAGGGCAACUGGAAAGGAUUUCUCAGCUGAACCCACAGAGAGGAGGUCAUUCCGUGAUCUUCUUGAUGUUGGUCUUCUUAGUGGUAGAUGUUUCAAAGAAAAAGAGUUAAUCGUAUUCUCACAAUCAGUAACAUUCACCAUAAAUACAUAUAAGGUGGACAGGUUGAUACAUUUGCAGAGAAUUAGUGUAGACCGAGCCUGGAAAAUACCUGACUCAUUUUAGUCAGUUUGUCGAAAAAGGAACUGUGGCUGAUGGUCUGGAAAAGUUGUACAAGGAGGUCCAUGGUGCUAUCAAAGUUGUACAAGGAGGUCCAUGGUGCCAUUCGUGCUGAUCUGAAGCGCCUUAGUGGUAUCUCUCCAAAGGCUACGAGUAUAUGCAUCAAAUUCUAUUAUUUGUUUGAGAUAGGGAGGGCAUCGAUAAAAACAAACAAAAAUGUAUGCUUUAUAUUACUGCGGUAUUUUGAUGCGUGUCGUGAGUGUAAUCAAAUUAAAUCACUUAUUUCCACACAAUUAACUGGUAAUAUAAUGGAAGCAAGGAUCGCUUCCACGAAGAGCAGGGAGUUUAGUUGUCAAAAUGGUCACAA